CCUACGGGUGGCAGCAGUGAGGAAUAUUGGUCAAUGGGCGCGAGCCUGAACCAGCCAAGUCGCGUGAGGGAAGACGGUCCUAUGGAUUGUAAACCUCUUUUGUCGGGGAGCAAAAGUCGCCACGCGUGGCGUUCCGAGAGUACCCGAAGAAAUAGCAUCGGCUAACUCCGUGCCCGCAGCCGCGGUAAUACGGAGGAUGCGAGCGUUUUCCGGAUUUAUUGGGUUUAAAGGGUGCGCAGGCGGAAGGUCAAGUCAGCGGUAAAAUUGCGGGGCUCAACCUCUUCGAGCCGUGGAAACUGGCUGUCUUGAGUGAGUGAGAAGUAUGCGGAAUGCGUGGUGUAGCGGUGAAAUGCAUAGAUAUCACGCAGAACUCCGGUUGCGAAGGCAGCAUACCGGCGCUCAACUGACGCUCAUGCACGAAAGUGUGGGUAUCGAACAGGAUUAGAUACCCCAGUAGUC
rnacentral:rRNA from 1 species